rnacentral:lncRNA from 1 species
UAAGCAAUCUGAGAACCAAGUAUAAGUCAAAUAAAGAAACAUGCUCACACUCCAGGCCAAAUACACAGGCACAAGAGCACAAAAGUAUUACAAAACAGAGAGCAAUACCCGACUUUGCCAAAGUAUCUGCUGAAAUUUUUAUUUGUGCUUUUUGAUGUCUUUACUUUUUUAUUUUAUUUUUUGGUGUAUUGAAUAGUAGUUGUGAUAUGGAUGUGAUUAUGUGGUAAUAGAGAGAUUUUAGCAAUGGGUUUUCCUUUUGUGUUGGGUAAAAAGUUGAAGAAGAAAGGCUAGGGAAGGAGAUGCGAGUGGGGAAGAAGAUGAAACGGGAGGAGAGAGAAAGAGAGAACGUGGGAAAAGGAUGGAUUAAAAAUAUUUGUGAAAUUAAAAAGCCACUACGUUGCAC